GCGCGAUUGGUUUAGUGGUAGAAUAAUUGGUUUCCAACCAAUUGGCAGGGGUUCGAUUCCCCUAUCGCGCA
rnacentral:tRNA from 1 species